CCCUUAGAUGUUCUGGGCCGCACGCGCGCUACACUGACGAUGGCAACGAGUUUUUCCUUCGCCGAAAGGUGUGGGUAAUCUUUUGAAACAUCGUCGUGCUGGGGAUAGAUCAUUGCAAUUUUUGAUCUUGAACGAGGAAUUCCUAGUAAGCGCGAGUCAUCAGCUCGCGUUGAUUACGUCCCUGCCUUUUGUACACACCGCCCGUCGCUACUACCGAUUGAAUGGUUUAGUGAGGACUCCUGAUUGGCGCCGCCGCCCCGGCAACGGAGCAGCGGACUGCCGAAAAGUUGUUCAAACUUGAUCAUUUAGAGGAAGUAAAAGUCGUAACA
rnacentral:rRNA from 1 species